AGGUCAAGCUACAAAGGGCGCAUGGUGAAUGCCUUGGCAUCAGGAGCCGAUGAAGGACGCGAUAAGCUGCGAUAAGCUUCGGGUAGACGCACAUAGUCAGAGAUCCGAAGAUUUCCGAAUGAGGAAACUCACAUGGGAAACCCCAUGUAUCGUAAAGUGAAUACAUAGCUUUAUGAAGGUAAACCCAGGGAACUGAAACAUCUAAGUACCUGGAGGAAGAGAAAGAAAAAUCGAUUUUCUUAGUAGCGGCGAGCGAAAGGGAAAGAGCCCAAACCAAAGAUUUAUCUUUGGGGUUGCGGACAGAACAUUAACGAGAAAUUAUGGUUAACCGAACACAACUGGAAAGUUGGACCGUAGGGGGUAAUAGUCCUGUAGGUGAAAAUUAUAAUUAUCAAGUUCUGAUCCAGAGUACCACGAGACACGUGAAACCUUGUGGGAAGCAGGGAGGACCACCUCCCAAGGCUAAAUACUACCUGAUGACCGAUAGUGAAGCAGUACCGUGAGGGAAAGGUGAAAAGAACCCCGGGAGGGGAGUGAAAUAGAACCUGAAACCAUGUGCCUACAACCGAUCAAAGCACCUUAUGUGUGUGAUGAUGUGCUUUUUGUAGAACGAGCCAACGAGUUACGGUAUGUAGCAAGGUUAAGUACUUAAGGUACGGAGCCGAAGGGAAACCGAGUCUUAAUAGGGCGACUAGUUGCAUGCUGUAGACCCGAAACCGGGUGACCUAUCCAUGGCCAGGUUGAAGCGAGGGUAAAACCUCGUGGAGGACCGAACCACGUUGCUGUUGAAAAAGCAUGGGAUGAGCUGUGGAUAGCGGAGAAAUUCCAAUCGAACUCGGAUAUAGCUGGUUCUCCUCGAAAUAGCUUUAGGGCUAGCGUCGUGUAAUUGAGUAAUGG
rnacentral:rRNA from 1 species